GCAAGUCGAGCGGCAGCGCGGGGGCAACCCUGGCGGCGAGCGGCGGACGGGUGAGGAAUGCAUCGGAAUCUACCUUGUUGUGGGGGAUAACGUAGGGAAACUUACGCUAAUACCGCAUACGACCUACGGGUGAAAGUGGGGGACCUUCGGGCCUCACGCGAUAAGAUGAGCCGAUGCCGGAUUAGCUAGUUGGCGGGGUAAAGGCCCACCAAGGCGACGAUCCGUAGCUGGUCUGAGAGGAUGAUC
rnacentral:rRNA from 1 species